GAUGAACGCUGGCGGCGUGCCUAAUACAUGCAAGUCGAGCGAACAGGCGAGGAGCUUGCUCCUCUGACGUUAGCGGCGGACGGGUGAGUAACACGUGGAUAACCUACCUAUAAGACUGGGAUAACUUCGGGAAACCGGAGCUAAUACCGGAUAAUAUAAUGAACCGCAUGGUUCAAUAGUGAAAGACGGUUUUGCUGUCACUUAUAGAUGGAUCCGCGCCGCAUUAGCUAGUUGGUAAGGUAACGGCUUACCAAGGCAACGAUGCGUAGCCGACCUGAGAGGGUGAUCGGCCACACUGGAACUGAGACACGGUCCAGACUCCUACGGGAGGCAGCAGUAGGGAAUCUUCCGCAAUGGGCGAAAGCCUGACGGAGCAACGCCGCGUGAGUGAUGAAGGUCUUCGGAUCGUAAAACUCUGUUAUUAGGGAAGAACAAAUGUGUAAGUAACUAUGCACGUCUUGACGGUACCUAAUCAGAAAGCCACGGCUAACUACGUG
rnacentral:rRNA from 1 species